CUCCCCCUCUCUUCCCCCAGAAUAAAGGAAGAAAACAAACUCUGAUUUUAAAAACAAACCCAAAUGUUUUGUGCAGCCCAGUUGGCAAAACUGCUGAAAGCUGACAGAAACCAGUGUUGAUAAGCUAAAGCUAACUCCGUGCUGGCAGAAGGCCACUAAGGAAUAAAACCGUAGCAUCUCAAGCUCUUAUCCUUCAGCCAAGUCUAUUAAAAUAGAAGAUGAGCCUUCCCAGUAGGAGAAGACUAUAAGGAGAUGUGAAUCUCAUUUUCUUGGUGCAACUUUGAAGAUGAAAACUGUGGGCCCAGUCCUGCAGUCAGUGGGACUAGUGUUUACUUCAGGGCACAUAACUAGCCAGACUUGGAACGAAGGAAUAAUUGAUAUUGCGUGAUUCUGGUGUUCUAGCCAAACAGAGAAUUUUUGAAACCUAGCAGAAAAUCACUGCGUCCCUUCUUGAAACAGACUGUAUGAAAAGACAAAUGUGGGAGGCGGAAGAGCAUAAGUCAAGUUUUGGCUCCCCAUUAAACAAAACAGGCAAAAAGGUCUACUCCUCUACUGAAAAAUGAAGAUACAUAUGGCCUGUACUGCAUCAAA
rnacentral:lncRNA from 1 species